rnacentral:rRNA from 1 species
CUCUCGGGUGACGAGCGGCGGACGGGUGAGUAAUGUCUGGGAAACUGCCUGAUGGAGGGGGAUAACUACUGGAAACGGUAGCUAAUACCGCAUAAUGUCGCAAGACCAAAGUGGGGGACCUUCGGGCCUCAUGCCAUCAGAUGUGCCCAGAUGGGAUUAGCUAGUAGGUGGGGUAACGGCUCACCUAGGCGACGAUCCCUAGCUGGUCUGAGAGGAUGACCAGCCACACUGGAACUGAGACACGGUCCAGACUCCUACGGGAGGCAGCAGUGGGGAAUAUUGCACAAUGGGCGCAAGCCUGAUGCAGCCAUGCCGCGUGUGUGAAGAAGGCCUUCGGGUUGUAAAGCACUUUCAGCGGGGAGGAAGGCGAUAAGGUUAAUAACCUUGUCGAUUGACGUUACCCGCAGAAGAAGCACCGGCUAACUCCGUGCCAGCAGCCGCGGUAAUACGGAGGGUGCAAGCGUUAAUCGGAAUUACUGGGCGUAAAGCGCACGCAGGCGGUCUGUCAAGUCGGAUGUGAAAUCCCCGGGCUCAACCUGGGAACUGCAUUCGAAACUGGCAGGCUAGAGUCUUGUAGAGGGGGGUAGAAUUCCAGGUGUAGCGGUGAAAUGCGUAGAGAUCUGGAGGAAUACCGGUGGCGAAGGCGGCCCCCUGGACAAAGACUGACGCUC